rnacentral:rRNA from 1 species
GAAUAUUGGACAAUGGGCGCAAGCCUGAUCCAGCCAUGCCGCGUGAGUGAUGAAGGCCCUAGGGUUGUAAAGCUCUUUCAACGGUGAAGAUAAUGACGGUAGCCGUAGAAGAAGCCCCGGCUACCUUCGUGCCAGCAGCCGCGGUAAUACGAAGGGGGCUAGCGUUGUUCGGAAUUACUGGGCGUAAAGCGCGCGUAGGCGGACAUUUAAGUCAGGGGUGAAAUCCCGGGGCUCAACCCCGGAACUGCCUUUGAUACUGGGUGUCUAGAGUCCGGAAGAGGUGAGUGGAAUUGCGAGUGUAGAGGUGAAAUUCGUAGAUAUUCGCAGGAACACCAGUGGCGAAGGCGGCUCACUGGUCCGGUACUGACGCUGAGGUGCGAAAGCGUGGGGAGCAAACAGG